rnacentral:rRNA from 1 species
GAUGAACGCUGGCGGCGUGCCUAAUACAUGCAAGUCGAGCGAACAGACGAGGAGCUUGCUCCUCUGACGUUAGCAGCGGACGGGUGAGUAACGCGUGGAUAAGCUACCUAUGAGCCUGGGAUAACUUCGGGAAACCGAAGCUAAUACCGGAUAAUCUCUUGAACCGCAUGGUUCAAUAGUGAAAGACGGUUUUGCUGUCACUCAUAGAGGGAUCCGCGCGGCAUUAGCUAGUUGGUAAGGUAACGACUUACCAGGGCAACGAUGAGUAGCCGACUUGAGCGGGUGAUCGGCCACACGGGAACGGAGACACGGACCAGACGCCUACGGGAGGAAGCAGUGGGGAAUCUGCGGCAAUGGGCGAAAGCCUGACGGAGCAACGCCGCGUGGGUGAGGAAGGUCUUCGGAUCGUAAAACUCUGUUAUUAGGGAAGAACAAAUGUGUAAUUAACUACGCACGUCUUGACGGUACCUAAUCAGAAAGCCACGGCUAACUACGUG